rnacentral:rRNA from 1 species
UACAGAGGUCUCAAGCGUUGUUCGGAUUCAUUGGGCGUAAAGGGUGCGUAGGCGGCGCGGUAAGUCGGGUGUGAAAUUUCGGAGCUUAACUCCGAAACUGCAUUCGAUACUGCCGUGCUUGAGGACUGGAGAGGAGACUGGAAUUUACGGUGUAGCAGUGAAAUGCGUAGAGAUCGUAAGGAAGACCAGUGGCGAAGGCGGUGGUCUGGGCCGGUACUGACGCUGUAGAGCGAAAGCGUGGGGAGCGAACAGG